UAUAAACACAGCCUGGAUGUCCAGCGCUCAGUGCCCAACCCUGGAGCUGAGCCGUCUCCAAGCUCUCAGCUCGUGUGCCCCCCAAACCAGCCAGCAAAAUGCUUGAACGUCUCCCUGGAGUGGCUGGGCUGUGGGUUGGGUGAGACAUUAGCAUGUCACACGUGGAGUGGCACGAGGUGCAGCAGACUUCCAUUGGGCAUGAGGCAGAAAGAGUUGAAAACUGAGCAACUUCUAACCAGUCCUAAAGUGCAAAAAUAGCUCUGGACAGUGUUACCAGUCCUUUCACUGCUGUUCUGAAGGGCUCUAGAAAAUUGGCCCAUCCUGUCCAUCACAGACUCCCAGCAACUAGCUUUCCAGGUGAGAGGCCACAGGUAUUUUAACAGUGGUUCCUCCUGGUGCAUCUCAAGGCACUCCACAAAUGCUAAAGCCUCUGCCACCUCCAGAGCCCACCAGCCUCUUGGGAGCUCCAGGCCACCCUUCUCCCCUGGCUUUCUGCAGCUGGGAGCUGCCGGGGAGGCCCUGCCGGCAUCCAGCCUUCACCUGAGCACGCAGGGACCUGCUCCACCAGGGCCUGGGGGUGGUUGUGGGAAAACUGCAAACGCCUGUUCAGAGUGAUCCCAACCUGUCCCAACCCCAAGUGUUUGGCACCAGGCAGAGCCCGUGUUGUGGAUGAAGGCAGAGAGCCUUUUGGUGUCGCUCGUGCCAUGGAGCCUGGAGCUCUGCAGGGGAGCUGGAUACACCAAGCAGGCAAAGGAACAGCUUUCCCAAGCUGGAAGAUCCCUCCUUCCCUUCCUGCGGGCGUGUGGGAAAAGGGUCAGGCCCAGCUGCUGCAGCCAGCCUGCAGUGAGAGAGGUCGCGGACACGGUGAUGCAAGCUAUCGGCGUCGCGCCAUCUCCCAGCCUGUGCAUUCAGCCUUCCCUCCUUCCACCAGCCGCUGCCGGGAGGAAAGGGUUAAGAAGCAACAAGACUGAGGAACGAGACCAGGGAAUUCAGCUGCUGACGCAGGUAGGAGAUCUGCAGGCAAAGCAUCCCCGUUAUAUAGCAACACGGUGUCACAGCAGUG
rnacentral:lncRNA from 1 species